AUUGAACGCUGGCGGCAGGCCUAACACAUGCAAGUCGAACGGCAGCACAGAAGAGCUUGCUCUUUGGGUGGCGAGUGGCGGACGGGUGAGUAAUGUCUGGGAAACUGCCCGAUGGAGGGGGAUAACUACUGGAAACGGUAGCUAAUACCGCAUAACGUCGCGAGACCAAAGUGGGGGACCUUCGGGCCUCACACCAUCGGAUGUGCCCAGAUGGGAUUAGCUAGUAGGUGGGGUAAUGGCUCACCUAGGCGACGAUCCCUAGCUGGUCUGAGGGGAUGAGCAACCACACUGGAACUGAGACACGGUCCAGACUCCUACGGGAGGCAGCAGUGGGGAAUAUUGCACAAUGGGCGCAAGCCUGAUGCAGCCAUGCCGCGUGUAUGAAGAAGGCCUUCGGGUUGUAAAGUACUUUCAGCGGGGAGGAAGGCGGUGAGGUUAAUAACCUCGCCGAUUGACGUUACCCGCAGAAGAAGCACCGGCUAACUCCGUGCCAGCAGCCGCCGUAA
rnacentral:rRNA from 1 species